UCUUUUUUCUUUUCAAAGAAAAUUUCUAUUUUGAAUUCUAAACUGACAGUAUCUACCUAAGAAUAUCAACUCAUUUAAAUGGUGUCAAAGAUUUUUACACUUCUUCCCUUUAAAAAGAGUAGUACAAGUAUUUAAUAUCUGUUAAAUAAAAAAGAAAAAAAGGAAAAAGCUCAUAAAUUUAGCCUCCCUUUUGUUCAAAUAAGUUGUUACUUAAAAAUUUCACCAUGAAAUGCACGUAAAUUAACUAUAAAACGAAAAAUAAAUAAAGAAUUAAUACUAUAAGAAAAAACUAAACUACAUUUUUUUCAAGAAAAAAUAAAAAGUAGAGAAUUCUUGUUAUAAAUCUGUCAACACGAAUUAACCUAAAAGUGCAAUGUACAUACUUGGAUGCUAACAAAUUAAUGCCCGUCUUAGCUCAAGUAGUAUGAGGAAACGGAUAAUUUGCUCCAAUGGUUCUAAACCUUUGCCAUUUAUAUCGGAUUUGUACCAAACCAGUACCGCACCUAUUAUUUUUGUUACAAUUGGCGGUACCAAUUGAGGAUUUUGUGACAUUUUUGCACAGGUGGCAGCUGACAAUCCACAUAAGCUUAAAGAAAAAGGACAUAUCACUUGCUUACAUGUAAAACUUAUCUUACUCACUCAAUUGGGUUCUACAUGUUUUCAAUUCCACUACUUCCUUCAACCUAUGCUCUUUAGAAAAAGCACUAAUCAUUGCAGACUCGGUGUACAAGUUCGUCUCAUGCAUUUCAGUAAAUAAUUUACGUGCAUCACUUAAAGACCCACAUAUUCGCGUACUGGAUAACUAGCUUAUUCUCAAGAAACGAGUUUUCUUCCUGGACCAAGUGAAAACGAGCAUGGACCUUGCGACAGAUAGUAACAAAAUUACAGUUGAUGCAGGAUUGGAGUAAAUCGAUGAAGGUUUUAGGUAAUACCUUAGAGCCAUAUUGAGCUAUCAAUUCAAGAGCAGAUACGACCUCAUUUAAACGACCAUUUUUGCAAAGGAGGUUAUACUUAGCAUCUUAGUGCCUCGUAAUUGAUUGGAAUUGGACGGCUAAAGCCAACUUGAGUUAGUAAAUUCCCAAUUGUAGCAAGAUUACGGCAAAAUACGCCUUGAAACUAAUUGAUUUGUCGUUCCUGAAGGUAUUUUUGUUGCCGCUACUAUAAUUUCAGUUGAAUUGAUUCAUUGAGAACUGGAUUUCUCCA